GUCCCUGUAGCGCAAUGGAUAGCGUUUUGAACUUCUAAUGCAAACGUCGUGGGUUCGAAACAUACCUGGGAUG